CCACACUCCCGAUCCAGCUUCUCUCUCUCCUUGGAACUUCCAACCCGUCUCGGUGUGAGGCAUCUCUGCCUCUCCGGUCUUUCAAGCCCUACCCAUCCCCCACCGCCGAGCUCCUUGCCCAGCAACCUGCAACUAGCAAACCCGUCUCCCGGCCUCCGGUCUCCGAUCUCCACCUCGAGCCCUCCAGACUCCCUAUCCAGCUUCUCUCCUUUCAACUCUGCAACUAGCAAACCCGUCUCCGGUCUCCGAUCUCCGCCUCCAGCCCUCCAGCCUCCAGACUUGCAGUUUGUAACUCGGUCACUGUCUCACUGAGGUUAGUGAGGAGAAGCUCUCAGAAGCAGAGGCCACAAGCCCACAACUUCAUUGAGAAACGAUGAAAAAAAAAAAGUGAUACAUAUAGUUCAUUGGAUCCCCAAGUACCGUUCCUUCCCUCGGUCGAAGUUUCAGUGAAGGCUUUACUUGGUAUAUCAUCAGCAGCUCUACCUGCAGCUCCAAGUGCAUCAAUGCGAAUUUUAUUCCGUGGACAUCAUCCAUAGUGAGUUGGAACUGCAAAAAGAGAUCUGGUUUGGAGGACUGCUGCAAAUACACCCUAGUAUUGGAGUUCUUUUGCUACUUGUCCUGCAUCACCAAUGCUGUGAUAAGGGUUCUCUCAUGCAAUGUAAUUUGGAAUCAAGCUUAGGUUUCUGAAUCGAAGCUGCAACACAUGUUCCAAAUGCUGACUGAUGCAUGAAUUAGUGUGCAGACCAUAUGGUUACAGGAUAAACUACCACGGCCAGGCGACAAUGAUGAAAAUUGACAAAGAAAAUAGUAAUCCUGACAUCAGGAUUAAAGCUUCACAUUGUGUCACCAGGUGAUUCCAACUCUGGGAGUUUCUUUUGGAUGUCUGCUACAUAUAUACUUGUGUCUGCUGCAAAGAUGGGAAGAUCUGUAGAGUGGGAAAGGAAAUCAAAUCUUGCUUACACACAGAAGGAUAUUGAUGUGGUUCGAGCUGAAUGGGCAAAUCAUGUUAUGAAGUUCUAACUUUGGUUCUGUUUAAGGUAGAUGAGUAGCACCAGGAACUGCUUUUGUGCAUUUAUAUAUAACUGAUGGAAAGUGUUGAUGAACCUAAAUUAUGCAUGCAGUUGCUUUGCCUAGCUACUCUUUCUUUACCUUAUAGGUUUUUGACUUAGUGCAAUAUUAGGUAAAUGAUCGAGAUCGAUGAGAUGGUUUUUUGGUUCUCUUGAUCAUUAUGUAACUGUUGGCUAGGUUUAGAGUUGGAACUAUGGAUUGUAUUUUGGAUGAUGUUGAUGCAAUUAAUGAAACGUAGCCAUCAUUUUCAA